GCUCACUUGGUGAAGUUGGUAAACACAUCAGAUUCAAAAUCUGAAGCUCCUUAACGAGCUGAUCGGUUCAAGUCCGAUAGUGAGUA
rnacentral:tRNA from 1 species